UCAGCGAUGGCGAUCUCCUGGUAGCCAAUCGAACUUGCAGGAAACAUAUUCCAGGAGCGAUAGAAAACACACACGGAGGGACGAGCCGAUCCAGUCUGUCAUAAGGUGUACAGCUACAGAGGAUGUCCCAGUCACCAUAGGCGUCAAGUGUUUGCUGCUGGAUGACACACCAAAGUCCAGGCGGGUGAAAACAUCGAACGUGAAGUCCCAUAAUACGAAGAAUAAGUACAAGCCGCUGUAUAGAGCAUGGCGCUUAUGGGGGAGGGGAGCUACCCUGCUGUUGCUGAGGAGGAUCUGCAUGCUGGAACAACAAUCCUCCGGCGACGGUAGGCCCCACAUGCAUUUGGACUGGCGUCUGCAACGACGUUCACCCUUUUCGGCGUUCCGGCGUAUCCAGCAAUGUACCUCCUAAAGCAAAGAAGAAACGUUGCAGUACCUACACUGGUAAAUAACUGUUCCCACCCACAUCGUUCUUAUAAUUAAAAACGUGAA